GAUCCUGGCUCAGGAUGAACGCUAGCGGCAGGCUUAACACAUGCAAGUCGAGGGGCAGCAUAAUGGUAGCAAUACUAUUGAUGGCGACCGGCGGACGGGUGCGUAACGCGUAUGCAACCUACCCUUUACAGGGGGAUAACACUGAGAAAUCGGUACUAAUACCCCAUAAUAUUCUGGGAGGCAUCUUUCGGGGUUGAAAGCUUUGGUGUAAGGNUGGGCAUGCGUUGUAUUAGCUAGUUGGUAAGGUAACGG
rnacentral:rRNA from 1 species